GGCAUGACGGCCUGUACCCGAAACCGACACAGGUGGGGUGGUAGAGAAUACCGAGGGGCGCGAGAUAACUCUCUCUAAGGAACUCGGCAAAAUGGCCCCGUAACUUCGGGAGAAGGGGUGCCACCGCGAGGUGGUCGCAGUGAAGAGGCCCAGGCGACUGUUUACCAAAAACACAGGUCUCCGCUAAGUCGCAAGACGAUGUAUGGGGGCUGACGCCUGCCCAGUGCCGGAAGGUUAAGGAAGCCGGUCAGCGUAAGCGAAGCUGGCGACUGAAGCCCCGGUGAACGGCGGCCGUAACUAUAGCGGUCCUAAGGUAGCGAAAUUCCUUGUCGGGUAAGUUCCGACCCGCACGAAAGGCGUAACGAUCUGGGCGCUGUCUCGGAGAGAGGCUCGGCGAAAUAGAAUUGUCUGUGAAGAUGCGGACUACGUGCACCCGGACAGAAAGACCCUAUGAAGCUUUACUGUAGCUUGGUAUUGUGCUCGGGCUCUGAAUGCGCAGGAUAGGUGGGAGGCUUUGAUCCAUUGCUUGUGGGUGAUGGUGAGCCACUGGUGAGAUACCACUCUUUCAGAGCUAGGGUUCUAACGGUCACCCGUUAUCCGGGGACCGGACAGUAUCAGGUGGGCAGUUUGACUGGGGCGGUCGCCCCCUAAAAGGUAACGGAGGCGCGCAAAGGUUCCCUCAGGCUGGUUGGAAAUCAGCCGACGAGUGCAAAGGCAGAAGGGAGCUUGACUGUGAGACCAACAAGUCGAACAGGGACGAAAGUCGGCCUUAGUGAUCCGACGGUUCUGAGUGGAAGGGCCGUCGCUCAACGGAUAAAAGUUACUCUAGGGUAACAGGCUGAUCUCCCCCAAGAGUUCACAUCGACGGGGAGGUUUGGCACCUCGAUGUCGGCUCGUCGCAACCUGGGGCUGAAGUCGGUCCCAAGGGUUGGGCUGUUCGCCCAUUAAAGCGGUACGCGAGCUGGGUUCAGAACGUCGUGAGACAGUUCGGUCCAUAUCCGGUGCAUGCGCAGGAACAUUGAGAGGAUUUCUCCCUAGUACUAGAGGACCGGGAGGAACGCACCUCUGGUGUACCAGUUAUCGUGCCAACGGUAAACGCUGGGUAGCCAUGUGCGGAGCGGAUAACCGCUGGAAGCAUCUAAGUGGGAAGCCCACCUCAAGAUGAGUGUUCCCAUGGCAUAAGCCAGUAAGGUCACGGGAAGAACACCCGUUGAUAGGCUCUACGUGGAAGCGUGGCUACAUGUGAAGCGGAGGAGUACUAAUAGACCGAGGGCUUGAC
rnacentral:rRNA from 1 species